GCUACAUCAGGUUGAAACACCGGUACUCGUACGAUCAACGAAGUUAAGCAACGUCGAACAAGGUCAGUACCUAGACGGAUGAUCACUUGGGAAUACCGGGUGCUGUAA